CAGCCGCCACGGGAAUACGGAGGGUGCAAGCGUUAAUCGGAAUUACUGGGCGUAAAGCGCACGCAGGCGGUCUGACAAGUCAGAUGUGAAAUCCCCGGGCUUAACCUGGGAACUGCAUUUGAAACUGUCAGGCUGGAGUCUUGUAGAGGGGGGUAGAAUUCCAGGUGUAGCGGUGAAAUGCGUAGAGAUCUGGAGGAAUACCGGUGGCGAAGGCGGCCCCCUGGACAAAGACUGACGCUCAGGUGCGAAAGCGUGGGGAGCAAACAGGAUUAGAGACCCGCGUAGUCCCUGUCUCUUAUAC
rnacentral:rRNA from 1 species